rfam:Picea glauca, whole genome shotgun sequence.
UUGUAAUGUAAUUCCUACAAUGUUAAUGCAUCAGAUACCAUUAGAACUCUUAAGUUAAGCACGCUUGGGCUAGAUUAGUAUUGGGAUGGGUGACCUCCCGAGAAGUCCUAGUGUUUUACAUG